rnacentral:lncRNA from 1 species
GCCCAUGAAGCCAUGAAAGGCUGCCGUCGACAACAAGGAGAGAGGGGAGAGGCCGGCCCACCUUCAAGCCCAUAAUGCAUGGGUUUUGCCAAGUGGCAAAAAGGAGAGUCACACCAUUGGCCACUUUGGGUGGCUCCUAAUCAUUUCAAAUGAUGAGAUUAAGGGAAAGAGAGAGAGAGAGAGAGGGGGGGGGCUGUCGUCCAAAGAGGGAGAGAGAGAGUGAGGAACCGAGAGAGAGGAAGAAGAGGUCGCGUGAGGAAGAAGCUGCCCGUCUGCUCGUCCGUCGAC